AAUAGAUACCCUGGUAGUCCACGCCGUAAACGAUGGAUGCUAGCUAUUGGGGGGAAUCGACCCCCUCCGAAGCGAAGCUAACGCGUUAAGCAUCCCGCCUGAGUAGUACGAGCGCAAGCUUAAAACUCAAAGGAAUUGACGGGGACCCGCACAAGCGGUGGAGCGUGUGGUUUAAUUCGAUGGUAAACGAAGAACCUUACCAAGGUUUGACAUCCCGGUAGCCGUUCUCCGAAAGGAGAAUUUCAUUUAGUUGGACCGGUGACAGGUGAUGCAUGGCCGUCGUCAGCUCGUAUCGUGAGAUGUUGGGUUAAGUCCCGCAACGAGCGCAACCCUUAUGAUUUAGUUGGAUUUUUCUAAACAGACUGCCCUGGUAACAGGGAGGAAGGAGGGGAUGAUGUCAGGUCAGUAUUUCCCUUACACCUUGGGCGACACACGCGCUACAAUGGCCGGUACAAUGGGCAGCUAAGCCGCGAGGUGGAGCAAAUCCCAUCAAAGCCGGUCCCAGUUCGGAUUGCAGGCUGAAACCCGCCUGCAUGAAGCCGGAAUCGCUAGUAACCG
rnacentral:rRNA from 1 species